UACAGGGGGUGCAAACGUUGCUCGGAAUUAUUGGGCGUAAAGCGCACGUAGGCGGUUUGUUAUGUCGGAUGUGAAAGCCCUUGGCUUAACUGAGGAAGUGCAUCCGAAACUGGCAGCUAGAGUACUAAAGAGGGUCGCGGAAUUCCCGGUGUAGAGGUGAAAUUCGUAGAUAUCGGGAGGAACACCGGUGGCGAAGGCGGCGACCUGGGUAGAUACUGACGCUGAGGUGGCGAAAGCGUGGGGAGCAAACAGG
rnacentral:rRNA from 1 species